UACGUAGGCAGCAAGCGUUGUUCGGAGUUACUGGGCGUAAAGGGUGUGUAGGCGGUUGGAUAAGUGUGGUGUGAAAUCUCCCGGCUUAACUGGGAGGGUGCGCUACAAACUGUCUGACUAGAGUGUGGGAUGGGUAAGUGGAAUUCCUGGUGUAGCGGUGAAAUGCGUAGAUAUCAGGAGGAACACCUGCGGUGUAGACGGCUUUCUGGACCAUUGUUGACGCUGAGACACGAAAGCGUGGGUAGCAAACAAG
rnacentral:rRNA from 1 species